rnacentral:misc_RNA from 1 species
GGGUGAUUGGCCAAUUUUAUGGGCAUUUCCAGGAUUAGGUGAUUGAGAAAUAGGCAGAGGUUCCGCUUUGCCCUCAGGCGACGUGAAAAAAGCAUUGAAAUCAGCUGGAACUUCCCAAACGAAUGAUGAGAAAAAUGCAUUGGUAUCAGUUUCCGGGUAGUUUGUUUUGAGAUAAGUUUUAAGAGAUAGCUUACUCAAAAAC